rnacentral:lncRNA from 1 species
GCAGGUGUGAUUAAGUUAAGGAUCUUGAGAUGGAAAGAGCCUGGGUUAUCCAGGUGGGCCCCAUAUAAUCACAAGCGUCCUGAUAAGAGAGAGACAAGAGGGUCAAAGUCAAAAAAAGGAGACCAUAUGACAAUGGAAGCAGAGGGAAGCAGAGUCAGAGAGAGAAGAUGCUAUGCUGUGGCUUGGAAGAUGGUGGAAGGAGCCACCAGCCAAAGACUGAGGGCAGCCACUAGAAGAUGGAAAAGGCAAGGAAUAGAUUCUUUCCUGAAACCUUCAGAAGAAAUGCAGCACUACUGACACCUUGAUUUUAGACUUCUGACCUCCAGCACUAUAGCUGACUAAAUGAUGGAGCUGGAUGGAGCUGAAUGGAGCUGAAGAACACAAGCAGAAUUGAUCCCAGGCAUUCCGAAGCCUGCCCUGGAGACUAACAAAACAAAACGAAACAAAAUAAGUGAAGGGGAAGGAGUGGAGGCUGGUGGAAGAAGUGGCAACAUUUAGACCUUAAUACUCAUGUGACCUCACUGCCUGGACUUGUGAAGCCUGAGGGUAUUUUAAUUUUAUAAGUAGUACGUAAUUUAAUAAGAAACAUACAGCAGGAUACACCCUUUGUACUACAACUACUGGAUUGCUUUGGCACAGCAAAAAUGCUCUGACACUUUACUUCAGAUUUAAUUCAAUUAAGAAACUGAGUUUCACACAGAAAGAAGGAGAGUUCCUAGCUGCUGGCGAAUCUAUUUAGUAGGAAGAUUAGCCCUGAGCUAACUGCUGCCAAUCCUCCUCUUUUUGAUGAGGAAGACCGGCCCUGAGCCAACAUCCAUGCCUAUCCUCCUCUACCUCAUAUGUGGGACGCCUACCACAGCAUGGCGUGCCAAAUGUUGCCAUGUCCGCACCCAGGAUCCGAACCAGCGAACCCCGGGCCACCAAAGCGGAACCUGCACACUUAACUGCAGCACCACUGGGCCGGCCCCUGAAAUUGAGUUUUCAAAAUUAGCCAUAAGGUUCAGAGUGUGACCAGAGGAAUGAUGGCAAUUAGGAUAUUAAGCCCCCUGCCUAUCAUAUGUUCUCGAGUGCACACUGAAUUUUUCCUUUGCAGUAUUUAUCAUAAUUCCAGUUAAGUAAUGUUUCAUUUGUGAACUAUGCUUAAUAUCUGGCUCCCUUAUUAGACCAUAAGCUCCUA